rnacentral:RNase_P_RNA from 1 species
AUAUUCGGACAAAUGCUGCAUAAGUAUUAUGUAGAGGAAAGUCCAUGCUCACACAGUCUGUGAUGAUUGUAGUGUUCGUGCUUAGGGAAAAAAUAACCUAAGGUAGAUUAAAUAAUCUAACGGCUCUGAGGCUUCCUAAAAGUUUUACUCAUGGAAGUAGUAGGAAUAACGUGCCAUAGUGACGAAGAAACUGGAAACAGUGGAAGUGGAACGUGGUAAACCCCGCGAGUGAGAAAUCCAAAUUUUGGUAGGAGAGCUCUUACAAAAGAAUCAAAUGGCGUAAGGGACUAGGGCAACCUAGUAGAUAAAUAUUUGUCGCCCUAUUAAGGGAACAGAACAUGGCUUAUGAA